UUAACCCAACAUACCUUAGCUGAAAAUAUUCUUUUACAUAGGAAACGUAAUAUUGGUUGUUAGCUAUUACUAGAAACAACUCAGCACCGAUAACGAAUUUCCUCGUUCCUAUUCGAGCCUUUUCCUUUGAAUAGAUCCACCUGCUAAGUAUUGUAGAAAAGCGAUCCCAACAUUUUGUCCCUUUUCCCCCUUUUGCUUCACUCUUGCAUCGGAAAUAUUUAGUUCCGCCUAUUCCAUUUAGAAAACAUCAAUGUCAACCAAAUCAAUUGAACUACAACUUCCGUGAGCAUCCAAAUCCAAAAUAUUUUCGAGAAUGGGUACCUCAUUGAUACCAACAAAUUCAUUGUAAAAUUGAUUUUGCAGCGUUAUAGGAGUUCACCUCCAACACCGAACAAGCCCUCAACGAGAGAUUGUGAAUCCACUUUUCAUGAAUUGAUAAUAUAAAAAUAUAAAUGAAGAUGAAAUAACAAAUGAAUAUGGAACAGUUUGAUAAACGUAGGAAUGUAAAUUGUAAUGAUAGCAUAUAAAAUAUUAUAUAGUGAAUAUUCAUUGUAAUUUGUAUAUAAAGUAAAUAAGAGUAUGGACGAGAGUAAUAUUCUAAAUUUAUCAGAAUAUUGAAGGUAGAAUACAGUAGAUUGUUGAAUGUGGAAGAGAAUAAGAGUAGUUAUGUGAAAGUUGCAAAAUGAUUUAGAAUAUUUAUGAAGUUAAAAAGGGGACCAAACCACUAUUUCCAAUAGUUCAGUGACCAGCCUGCUCACGUGGGCUUGCCCACGAGGCGAGCCAAGCCGAGCCAAUUCAGCUCAUUGGCACGCUCUGCUUGAGUAGCCCACUAGUCGAGCGAUCGAGCUGCUCCCUU
rnacentral:lncRNA from 1 species